rnacentral:rRNA from 1 species
AUGAGCAAAAGCCUAAGCCCGCGUUACCAAGGGCUGUCCACGUAUGAAAAAGAGUACCUUGCCAUUAUGGUGGCUGUUAACCAAUGGCGCCCUUAUUUGCAACACAACGAGUUCAUCAUCUAUACGGAUCAGAAGAGCCUCAUCCACUUGGAAGAGCAACGGCUGACUACCCCGUGGCAGCAACGAGCUUUCACCAAGCUACUCGGGCUCCGCUACGUCAUCCGCUACAAGAAGGGAUCUGAAAACACAGCUGCAGAUGCCCUUUCACGUGCGCAUACACCUGAUCUGCUGUUUGACAUCACCACCUGCCGUCCCAGUUGGCUUGAGGACGUGGCUGCCAGUUAUCAUAGCAACCCUCAAGCCCAGAAACUUAUGAAGCAAUUGGCUAUCCAGGAGGAUCCGAAGCAGCGUUUCACUCUGGAGCAAGGGAUUUUGCGAUUCCGCGGGAGAAUUUGGCUCGGGGGCACCACAGCAAUGCAGCAGAAGAUUAUCUCUGCUUUUCAUGACAGCCCCAUGGGCAGGCACGGUGGGUUUCCAGCCACUUUUCAGCGGAUACGGCGUCUUUUUGCUUGGCCCAAGAUGAAGGCGCACAUUCUGCAGUACGUGCGCUGCUGCUCGAUCUGCCAACAAGCUAAACCUGACAGGUCAGCAUCCCCGGGCUUGUUGGAGCCUCUCCCAAUUCCUCAUCAGGCCUGGGACAUGAUCACCAUGAACUUUAUCGAUGGCCUGCCACAGUCAGGGAAAGUCAAUUGCAUCUGGGCGAUCGUCGAUAAGCGCACAAAAUUUGCCCACUUCCUGCCUUUGGCUCAUCCGUACACAGCCUCCAAGGUGGCACUUAUCUACAUGACAAACAUCUACAAGAUUCAUGGCUUCCCGCACUCUAUUGUCUCAGAUCGCGACCCGGUGUUCACCAGCCACUUUUGGCGCGAGCUUUUCAAGUACGCGGGCACAGAGCUGCGCAUGAGCUCCGCUAACCACCCUCAGACGGACGGUCAAACGGAACGGGUGAACCAGUGCCUGGAAACUUAUCUGCGCUGCUUCGUCCAUGCAUGUCCGCGCCGCUGGAGUCAUUGGCUUCCACUAGCGCAGUUCUGGUACAACUCCUCGUACCACUCCAGCAUUGGGAUGUCGCCAUUCAAGACUAUGUUUGGUCAUGAACCACGAACUUGGGGCAUCUCACCCACUGAUGAGUGCCCAGUGCCCGCUCUGCAGUCUUGGCUGGAGGAAAGAGCGGUAAUUCAGGACCUCCUCCAGCAGCAUUUGCAUCGAGCGCAGCAGCAUAUGAAGUCGCAAGCAGACAAACACCGAUCCCCAAGGACUUUCUCGGUGGGCGACCAAGUCUACCUCAAGUUACAGCCGUAUAUCCAAACAUCGGUGGCCAGAAGAGCAAACCAUAAACUGUCCUUCAAAUAUUAUGGGCCAUUCCAGGUGAUCGCCAAGGUCAAUGAAGCAGCUUACAAACUGGAACUCCCAUCAGGCUCUCAAGUGCACCCAGUCUUCCACGUGUCUCAACUGCGACACUGCCUUCGCCCGGGUACGAACUCUUCAACUACACUUCCACAGCUUGCUGACAUUCCUGCCGUUCCUGUGGCCGUCCUACAGCACCGUUGGCGCAAGAAAAAUGGUGCAAUGAUCGAGCAGGUCUUGAUUCGUUGGUCGAAUCAAGCUGUACUCGGCGACACCUGGGAAGACAAGCUCGCAUUGCAGGCUCGGUUCCCUGGAGCAGAGGCUUGGGGGCAAGCCUCAUCCCAAGGAGGAGGGGAUGUCAGCGCCCCCACACCAGAGCCACGCCUUGAUGCUGACGAACCGGGCCCAGCCGGCACCGACUCGCUGCGCUUGUCCGCUGCCCAGAGGCCAAACCGCGCCAAGAAGCCCAACGAGCGCUACACUGGGCCGGAGUGGACCCAGUAG